rnacentral:rRNA from 1 species
CCCUUAGACGUUCUGGGCCGCACGCGCGCUACACUGACCAGUGCAACAAGCAUCCGUCCUUGGCCGACAGGCCCGGGCAAUCUUUGAACGCUGGUCGUGAUGGGGAUAGACUUUUGCAAUUUUUGGUCUUCAACGAGGAAUUCCUAGUAAACGCAAGUCAUCAACUUGCAUUGAUUACGUCCCUGCCCUUUGUACACACCGCCCGUCGCACCUACCGAUUGAAUGGUCCGGUGAAGCCUCCGGAUUGGCGCGCACCUCGGUGCCGCCGAGAAGUUGGCUAAACCUUACCAUUUAGAGGAAGGUGAAGUCGUCACA